rnacentral:rRNA from 1 species
AAGCUCAGCACGUAGGGACGGUGUGUAACUGCACCUGUCCGAUUCCGUGUACUGGAACGACCAUUAUCUACUAUGCACGGUGCAAACAGUUCAAGUUCAACUUGAAGGUGCUCAUCUACCCAGAGAGGGUGAUAGGCCCGUAGAACGGCACUAACCCACGUGACAGUAGACGGUCGGCUCCAUGGAGUCGUGUUGCUUGAUAGUGCAGCACUAAGUGGGAGGUAAACUCCUUCUAAAGCUAAAUACCACCAUGAGACCGAUAGAAGACAAGUACCGUGAGG